rnacentral:rRNA from 1 species
GUGUCAGCCGCCGCGGUAAAACCAGCACCUCAAGUGGUCAGGAGGAUUAUUGGGCCUAAAGCAUCCGUAGCCUGUUCUAUAAGUUUCCGGUUAAAUCCAUUAGCUCAACUAAUGGGCCGCCGAAAAUACUGUAGAACUAGGGAGUGGGAGAGGUAGACGGUAUUCGGUAGGAAGGGGUAAAAUCCUUUGAUCUAUUGAGGACCACCUGUGGCGAAGGCGGUCUACCAGAACACGUUCGACGGUGAGGGAUGAAAGCUGGGGGAGCAAACCGGAUUAGAUACCCGGGUAGUCCCAGCUGUAAACGAUGCAGACUCGGUGAUGCGCUGGCUUGUGGCCAGUGCAGUGCCGCAGGGAAGCCGUUAAGUUUGCCGCCUGGGAAGUACGUACGCAAGUAUGAAACUUAAAGGAAUUGGCGGGGGAGCACCACAAGGGGUGAAGCCUGCGGUUCAAUUGGAGUCAACGCCAGAAAUCUUACCCGAAGAGACAGCAGAAUGAAGGUCAAGCUGGAGACUUUACCAGACAAGCUGAGAAGUGGUGCAUGGCCGUCGCCAGCUCGUGCCGUGAGAUGUCCUGUUAAGUCAGGUAACGAGCGAGAUCCCUGCCUCUAGUUGCCACCAUUACUCUCAGGAGUAGUGGGGCGAAUUAGCGGGACCGCCGCAGUUAAUGCGGAGGAAGGAAGGGGCCACGGCAGGUCAGUAUGCCCUGAAACUUUGGGGCCACACGCGGGCUGCAAUGGUAGCGACAAUGGGUUCCGAAUCCGAAAGGAGGAGGCAAUCCUCAAACGCUACCACAGUUAUGAUUGAGGGCUGCAACUCGCCCUCAUGAAUAUGGAAUCCCUAGUAACUGCGUGUCAUUACCGCGCAGUGAAUACGUCCCUGCUCCUUGCACACACCGCCCGUC